CCGUCGUGAAGAGGGAAACAACCCAGACCGCCAGCUAAGGUCCCAAAGUCAUGGUUAAGUGGGAAACGAUGUGGGAAGGCCCAGACAGCCAGGAUGUUGGCUUAGAAGCAGCCAUCAUUUAAAGAAAGCGUAAUAGCUCACUGGUCGAGUCGGCCUGCGCGGAAGAUGUAACGGGGCUAAACCAUGCACCGAAGCUGCGGCAGCGACACUAUGUGUUGUUGGGUAGGGGAGCGUUCUGUAAGCCUGUGAAGGUGGCCUGUGAGGGUUGCUGGAGGUAUCAGAAGUGCGAAUGCUGACAUAAGUAACGAUAAAGCGGGUGAAAAGCCCGCUCGCCGGAAGACCAAGGGUUCCUGUCCAACGUUAAUCGGGGCAGGGUGAGUCGACCCCUAAGGCGAGGCCGAAAGGCGUAGUCGAUGGGAAACAGGUUAAUAUUCCUGUACUUGGUGUUACUGCGAAGGGGGGACGGAGAAGGCUAUGUUGGCCGGGCGACGGUUGUCCCGGUUUAAGCGUGUAGGCUGGUUUUCCAGGCAAAUCCGGAAAACCAAGGCUGAGGCGUGAUGACGAGGCACUACGGUGCUGAAGCGACAAAUGCCCUGCUUCCAGGAAAAGCCUCUAAGCAUCAGGUAACAUCAAAUCGUACCCCAAACCGACACAGGUGGUCAGGUAGAGAAUACCAAGGCGCUUGAGAGAACUCGGGUGAAGGAACUAGGCAAAAUGGUGCCGUAACUUCGGGAGAAGGCACGCUGAUAUGUAGGUGAAGCGACUUGCUCGUGGAGCUGAAAUCAGUCGAAGAUACCAGCUGGCUGCAACUGUUUAUUAAAAACACAGCACUGUGCAAACACGAAAGUGGACGUAUACGGUGUGACGCCUGCCCGGUGCCGGAAGGUUAAUUGAUGGGGUUAGCGGUAACGCGAAGCUCUUGAUCGAAGCCCCGGUAAACGGCGGCCGUAACUAUAACGGUCCUAAGGUAGCGAAAUUCCUUGUCGGGUAAGUUCCGACCUGCACGAAUGGCGUAAUGAUGGCCAGGCUGUCUCCACCCGAGACUCAGUGAAAUUGAACUCGCUGUGAAGAUGCAGUGUACCCGCGGCAAGACGGAAAGACCCCGUGAACCUUUACUAUAGCUUGACACUGAACAUUGAGCCUUGAUGUGUAGGAUAGGUGGGAGGCUUUGAAGUGUGGACGCCAGUCUGCAUGGAGCCGACCUUGAAAUACCACCCUUUAAUGUUUGAUGUUCUAACGUUGGCCCGUAAUCCGGGUUGCGGACAGUGUCUGGUGGGUAGUUUGACUGGGGCGGUCUCCUCCUAAAGAGUAACGGAGGAGCACGAAGGUUGGCUAAUCCUGGUCGGACAUCAGGAGGUUAGUGCAAUGGCAUAAGCCAGCUUGACUGCGAGCGUGACGGCGCGAGCAGGUGCGAAAGCAGGUCAUAGUGAUCCGGUGGUUCUGAAUGGAAGGGCCAUCGCUCAACGGAUAAAAGGUACUCCGGGGAUAACAGGCUGAUACCGCCCAAGAGUUCAUAUCGACGGCGGUGUUUGGCACCUCGAUGUCGGCUCAUCACAUCCUGGGGCUGAAGUAGGUCCCAAGGGUAUGGCUGUUCGCCAUUUAAAGUGGUACGCGAGCUGGGUUUAGAACGUCGUGAGACAGUUCGGUCCCUAUCUGCCGUGGGCGCUGGAGAACUGAGGGGGGCUGCUCCUAGUACGAGAGGACCGGAGUGGACGCAUCACUGGUGUUCGGGUUGUCAUGCCAAUGGCACUGCCCGGUAGCUAAAUGCGGAAGAGAUAAGUGCUGAAAGCAUCUAAGCACGAAACUUGCCCCGAGAUGAGUUCUCCCUGACUCCUUGAGAGUCCUGAAGGAACGUUGAAGACGACGACGUUGAUAGGCCGGGUGUGUAAGCGCAGCGAUGCGUUGAGCUAACCGGUACUAAUGAACCGUGAGGCUUAACCUU
rnacentral:rRNA from 1 species